GAUUGUGGCUCAGUGGUAGAAUGUGUGUAUGGCAUGCAUAAGGCUCUGGGUUUGAUUCCCAGCACAACA
rnacentral:tRNA from 1 species